UACGAAGGGGGCUAGCGUUGCUCGGAAUCACUGGGCGUAAAGCGCACGUAGGCGGACUCUUAAGUCGGGGGUGAAAUCCUGGAGCUCAACUCCAGAACUGCCUUCGAUACUGGGAGUCUUGAGUUCGGGAGAGGUGAGUGGAACUGCGAGUGUAGAGGUGAAAUUCGUAGAUAUUCGCAAGAACACCAGUGGCGAAGGCGGCUCACUGGCCAGAUACUGACGCUGAGGUGCGAAAGCGUGGGGAGCAAACAGG
rnacentral:rRNA from 1 species